rnacentral:rRNA from 1 species
GACGAACGCUGGCGGCGCGCCUAACACAUGCAAGUCGAGCGAAGCGGCGAACGGGUGAGUAACGCGUGACGAACCUGCCUCUCACAACGGGAUAGCCUCGGGAAACCGGGAUUAAUACCGUAUGGUGAGGGGUGGGCUCGCGGCUGAUUAGUUAGUUGGUGGGGUAACGGCCUACCAAGACGACGAUCAUUAACCGGCCUGGGGAGGUGGACGGUCACAUUGGAACAGGGACACGGUCCGAACUCCUACGAGGGGCAGCAGUGGGGAAUCAUGCACUAUGGGUGAAACACUGAUGCAGCGGCGCCGCAUGAGCGAUGAAGGUUUUCGAAUCGUAAAGCUCUGUCAUAUGGAGAACGGUACCAUAGGAGAAAGCCCCGGCUAACUACGUGCCAGCAGCCGCGGUAAUAC